GGAGAGAAAGGGCUGAGGACUGGGAGGCUGCGGCGGCUGCUGGCUCCUACAGCCGCUAGCUCCAGAGGAGGCGCGGCCAGAGUCGCGGGGACGUUGCCACCAAGAGCGGGGAAGGUGCGGAGACCCCGGACCGCGCGCAAGAGAAAACGCGGCGGCCGCACAAGCUGUCACCUCCAACCUCUCCCCUCGCGGCUGCCUCUGCCAGAAGCCAGAGCCGGACUCACUGACAAGCCGCAGAGAGAAAGACACUGAGAGGGAGAUGAUUAUUAGUUGCGUUGAGUCAUCAGGCAAAGGGUAAGCUCUGAGGUCUCAGAAGCUCAAGUCAACUCUCUCCUCCUGCUGCCUGACAAUCUAUAUGGAGAACUCUCAGCUCCUCCUGAACCAUGUCUGCCUGCAUGCUGUCACACUUCUUGCCACCAUGACAAUGGACUACACCUCUGAAACUCUGGCAGAUGGUGCUGCCGCAGCCUGAUUCAAACAGAACCGUGUCUGUGAGGCCUUUCCUGUCAGAGAUCUACCAGGAGAAGCAAACACACUAGGCACACCUUCCAAAGCAAGAGAUCCGCGCCUUAUAAAGGUUCACAGAGGAGUCCAGCAGACCUGGCCAUGGAUACCUGCGGCUCUACCGUCUGAUUUCCUUAUGCACACAAUGGAAGACACAAUUCAACUCCAUCAGAGGAAAAUGCUGGCCCAAAGACUCAUGCAUGCAAAGAGAUUAUUAUGUACCUGAUUAAUGUAAGAUGCCCAUAAUGAUACUAUAUUGCUAAAUCUAAGUUAAUAGACUAAUUUAUAUCUAUCCCAAAUAUUGGAGACAUAAAUCAUUUUUAGAGAGUGUAUACCCAAAUAUUACUGACCCAGGUGGCCUCAUAGCAUCUUAUCAGACGGCUGUCUACUCAAUAUAAAAAAAGUACUUAGCUGAUUGGUUUCCAUUUGGAGUGCAAUCUUAUUUUUUAACUUAAUGAUACCUUAAGGUGUUAUUUAAAAAAAAAUAGACUGGAUUGUAAAUGCAAUGCAAAAUUUAAGCUAUUUUUUUGUUGUUUUCUUGUCUGUUUUUUUUUAAAGUUUAGCUUCUCACUAAUUUUAUUGUAUUGCUAUAGGCCUAGUAAACCCUCCUGCAAAUGUAACUGUAAAAGUGGAGGCUACAGGCUGGCACUUAGCCCACGGGUGGCACUGUGGUAGCUCUCCACAUUUUUGCAUGUUUCUUUCUGUAAUCCUCUUUAGAAUUAAGGUCAGACUUCAGACAUCAAACCAUCCUAGAGUACUUUAUUAUGAUCUUGGUUGGUGGAAAAUGUGUAUUUCUCCUUAAAGCACACCUGAAAAGUGUAAGACUUUAGCAGCCAAUGAAAAUUGUUCUUAGUUGCAAUAGCUUAGCUAAGUGUGUGCUUUGCAGUUUGUGCUAGAAUCCUAAUUUAUGAUUUUGUAGUCAUUUACCAAAUGGAAAGUGGUAACACAUUUAGGGUUAGGACAUGAAACAUCUUAUAAGUGACUUAAAAUGGUAAAGUAUCUGGGGAAAGAGGCCCUCUUUUCUUCUUUCCCUCCAACUUUUCUAAAAAAAGAAGAAAUACAAUCACAUUAAUUUCUUAAGAAAAAAAAACUAUUUAUGGCAAGUUUUUUUGGUAAGGGGAUGUAACAACUAGAGCCUUCAGCCCCUGCUGGUGAGGUUUUAAGUUGGGACAGUCAUUUUUGAAAAUUGUUGAGCAAUCUCUAGUAAGCUGAAACACACAUAUUUCAUGACUCAGCAAAUCCUCACCAGUAAUGAUACCUAUAUUCAAUGAAAUGCAUUAAAAUGUCUCCUUUAUGCAUAACAAACAAGGGCUGUAAACAACUCAAAAAAACCAGCAGUUGACUAGCUAAAUAAAUUGUAGUAUUUAUACAACCAAGUCACCUGUGCCAAUAAUAGAAUACAACACCACAGUAUACAGCACAGUAGAUGGGGCCCAUGAACAUAGUGUUGACUAGGAGUAGAUGCCAAAGAGCAUGCACUUUGUGGUCCAUCUUACCUAAAAUUCAAAGCCAGGAAAUGCAACCAGCACGUAGCCAUAUAGGGAAGACAGUGCUGGGAAGAACAGAGGCAGUUUGGUAGCACGCACUUUGAAGUGAUAUGGUGUGAACCAUCCUAUGAAAAGACAUCUAGGAUAGAGUUAUGAUAUGAGACUGUGUGCACUUGUGUAUUGUGGCAGAGCCUUUCCCUAAUGAAUAAAGAUUUCAAGGAACCAAUCACUGGGUGAGUAGGUCAAACUUCUAGGUCAGAGAGAGAGGAGGAGGGCGGCAGGAGAAUGAGGACUUCCUUUUGGACAGGAGAGAGCAUGGAGUCCCCGGGGUAGGUGGCAGAUCCUCGGGAAGAUUUAUAACUUAAAUAGCUUACAAAUUUAGGAUGCAUGGAUUGCUUUUUAAAUAUUUCAUGCAACAGUGUAUAUUAUGACAUGAGACUGUGUGCCCUUGUGUAUACCAAUGUUCUACUACUGUGUAAUUAAACAUAUAUAAC
ensembl:processed_transcript 9130024F11Rik RIKEN cDNA 9130024F11 gene